rnacentral:rRNA from 1 species
UACGGGGGGGGCAAGCGUUGUUCGGAAUUACUGGGCGUAAAGGGCUUGUAGGCGGCCAACUAAGUCAGACGUGAAAUCCCUCGGCUUAACCGGGGAACUGCGUCUGAUACUGGAUGGCUUGAGUUCGGGAGAGGGAUGCGGAAUUCCAGGUGUAGCGGUGAAAUGCGUAGAUAUCUGGAGGAACACCGGUGGCGAAGGCGGCAUCCUGGACCGACACUGACGUUGAUGAGCGAAAGCCAGGGGAGCAAACGGG